GUUUUUUUUUUAAUAAAUGACGAAACUUUGUUUUUUUAUUUAUUUUUCGAUAUUAGUAUCGAAGACCAAUAGCAAACAUUUCAGCUAGUACCAAAAAUUAUGUAUAUACAUAUAAAUUAUUUAUACAUAACUAAUAGUCAAAAACACAAAAAGCAAAAAAAUCAAAAAAAUACAUUUAUCGGCUGGGACACCCAGCAUUCGGUGUAAUUUCAGCUUCUUAGGCUCAAACAUCAACGCAUUAUUGUAUAUUUACACGAAUAUGUUAUACUUGUAGUGUGUGAAUUUUGAUGCUGAUUUAUUUAUAGAGUAUAUCCUUCUGUUGCAUUUCUGCUUAAAGUAAUUAGAGCGUCACUUGGAGACUCAAAUAUACAAUAUUAGUAAUAUAUAAAUAAGUGUGUACCCAUCUAGAUACAAAUGUAAGCUUCGCCGUACGUUCUAGCCCCAACACUAACAUGCAACAAUGUUUACACAAAUUUUCUGCGCUAUUUCUGCGCUUCGUUGCCAUUGAGCGCCACGUCUCCAGCCACUAAUUGCCUCCCAGCAUUUUCUCCAGAGCUGAUCUUCAUUUAAAUAAAUACCAUAUAACUUGUAUAUAUGUAGGUACAUACGAUUUCCAAAUAUAUGUAUAUAAAUAUAUAUGUGUGUGUGUAAAGUUCUGCCUGCUGUGAAUUUUUCUAAAUCAAACAUUCUAUGGCAUUCUUUGCCUUCGUCUUGUGCCUCGUGUCUCAAGUAACGUUCAGCAAUUUUGCAGCCCACUCUCAUACAAACACAAAACAAGAACAAUACUGAAUUCAUGAGUAUAUAUGCACACAUAUGUGUUAUGGUAUGUAUACUAAGCACGACAUCCUCUGACUGCCAUUGAUGUCAACCUCGGUUGCGUAAAGUUGCAAACAUCGUCGCCGUUGCUGUGAUCUUCACGUGACUCGUCCCACUGCUGCUCUACCGCUCUUCUUCCUGUGGAAGACUUUCGUUAGACGUUUGCCGCUCAUUUAACGAUUUGCUUGCGCAGCAGAGAAUGCUACAUGGUUGUAUGCACAUAUAUACUUGUAAGUUUGAACGUGCCUUUCAGCAGGUCUUAGUUUCCCUUCGGCAUUCCUCAUUGCUGUUGUUGCAAAAGCCGAGCAUAUCAUUUUGUUAUCUGCUUGUGAUUAAAGCUUCUUUUGGAAGCGUGUCGCCGCGCAUUCAAGUCUCUCAUUACCUGCGCGCAAAGGAAAUAGAUGGCAGCAUAUAAUAGAUAUAUAGUAUGUAAGACUGUCUGUAUUCUAUUCAUUUACUUUUACUGUCCCAAAAGUGUUUAAAUAUACUACAGACAGACCCCCAGCAUCCCUAAAAUGCACUCCUGAAAGCAUGUGAUCGGUGGCAGCGGAAGCCCUACCUGCGCCAAGCGCGAUCUGCAUAUUCAUACACAUACACAUGCAUACUCGUAUGCAUACAUACCCACAAGUAUGCGAGAUUUCAAUGCGUCCAUUAAUUACCGGAAAGUUGUUAUUUGUGGCGCCCUUUAUUUGUGUGUUGCAACAACACAUUACCGCGCACAGCGGCUCCAAUAACUUCAACAGCUCAACGGCCCUCCAACGUCACACUCAGCCGCCCUCUGCGCGUAUUAUUGGCGCUCUCAACAGCUGUGGAGAGUUGUUUGAGAGCUUUGCUCCAAUAUUGAGUUGAAAUAAAGAUGUGAUAGCUCCACUAGUGAGUGUUUUUAAGCUCCAAUGAGUUGAACUCUUGAGUUCAUAUACAUUUUACAUUCGGCUUUUCGACGACAAAUUUCGCUCGUGCAAUUGGCGAAUCAGUGCGAGCGGUGUUUGUUUUAUUUGCCGGUUGCAAUUGUGUUUUUUUGGUUGUUGAUCUUUUCGUUGGCGCUGCUUGGCAGUAUAAAAGCUUGCGCGCCAAAAAGUGUUUACCAUUGCGGCUUCGACCGCUUGGGCGGUCGUUGUUGCCGUUAAAAUGGCCGGCCUGCGAUAGGAGGCAGUGUGUGGCGCUGAGUUAGCAGCAAUAGCGACGACUAUGUUGGAACGAGAUGUCCCAUGAAGGCUGCUCGGUAUGUGCAUAUUUGGCCACCAGCGACUAUUUCCCAUACACGUCUCACAUAAAGUGACUCACUGAAAAAACAAUUCAAUCAAAUGUGGAGGUCAAGAUAGAAGCAAACGGCUAUUGGAAACAACUCGAACUUUCACACUAUUGAACUGAUAUCGAAAUUUUAAAGGACCGUUAGAACAAAAGUCACUCUAGAUAGAGAUUACCAUAUGUCGAAGAAUGAAUACAAAAAACCGGGAAACAAUGCAACCAAAUACUUUUCAGUCCAUGUUGUACAUGUUUUUAAGAACAAGGCCAUGUGUAUGUACCUAAGACUUUGAACGCCAGGUUUAAAUUCAUCAACAUCAAUGUGGGAGUAAAAUGUAAUGGGGAAGAGUCAACCGGUACAGCAAAGUCGACGUGAAAAAGGGAUGUAAAAUAAAAAUUGCACAUAGAACAACCAUAAUUUCAAAUAUGUAAGUCUAAAGAAAAAUAACUGGACUUGGUUGUGAUAAUUUAAGCAUUUAUAUACACGUGUGAAUUUCAAAAAAUCGAUUUUUGUUUUUGCAUAUACUUGUACAAUAUCAAAUGUACAUACCUACAUAUUUUCAGAGCUAUGAGUGUAAUUAUUGAAAAAAUGUUACUCAGUGUAAUCGGCUCCCAAACUUUAAACGCUUUAUUUUCGAAAUUCUGUUUUCAGACUCGAUGAGGAAAAUUUCUCCGAAUCUACCGAUCAACUUGAAAUUUUCACGCCACCUUCUUACAUAUAUUUGUCAGAUAUAGUUGGAAUGAAUAAAAUUUUGAAACAAAAAUAAAUUUUUAUGGCAUUCUAAAGUGUAACUUUUUUUUGGAAGCCGCCAUUUUGUCAAAAAUCUAAAUUUUGACUAGUCCUUCCAUCACUAACUCUAAUCAUUUAUUGUAAUAAUAAAUGUUUUUGGUUCUUGGAUUAAAGAUAAUUUUAAACAGAAAAAUCUUCUCCACCGUCAGACACCUUUUGUCGAAAGUGCUCAAGGAGAUCGGCUACGGAAACAAAUGAAUCCAAGAUUAUCCAAAAUAAAUCCCGAUUAUUAAAGUGAAUUAAACGCUGUAAAUGUAUUUUUACUUAUACGAGUAUAUUAUAUCUUCACAAACUAAAUAUAUAAAACAAUGCAUUAAUUAACUAACGGUUCUUGCAACGCAUGAUUUAGAACCUUUUAUUGAAAUGUUGUUUCUCUAACGAAUAAUACAAUUAUUUAUUUAUCUAUAAAAAAUUGGUUUAAAGCAUGAAUCACGAACAAAUUUAUAUUCUCGAAUGAAACUGUAAACAUACAUACAUUUCAACCUUUAUGCGUAUAUCGCAAUGUCCUUUUUUCUAAUUAUGCAUUAUUAUACUUGACCAUCAAAAUCGAAUAAAUUUCAAAUAUUAAUUACAACAGCUAUUAAAUUUUGAGCCUAGCAUGAAUUUCAAAAUAUUCAAAUGUUUUUGUUAAACGAGUUUUAAAAAUUGCUUUUGUAAUUUAUCAUUUAGCCAAUAUUUUCUUCAUUUCACUUUAGAUAAUUAGAAAUAAAGAAAUUAUAACGAUUUCAUUAAUGUAAAUCCAAAAAUCACCAAAAGAAAGUAUAUUUAAUAAAUUAAUUUUCUUGAAUAUUCUUAAAACAAGAAAAACCCGGUAACUUCGGCUGCACUAAAGCAAUAAUACCCUACACAGGCUCAUUGCUAAUAGCUUAAAAGGGUAUAAGAUAAUCUUUAGCUUCAUUUUGAUCGUUCAGUUAUGGCAUGUAAAUAUGUAUGGCAGCUAUAUGCUAUAGUAGUUCGAUCUGAACUAUUUCCUCAGAUAUUGUAAAGUUGUCUUAAGCAACAAUCUAGGCUAAAUUUCGAGAAGCUAUCUCCUCAAAUAAAAAGUUUUUCCCCAAUGGAGUUGAUUUUGAGUGAUCUGAUUUCGGCGAUUCCUUUAAAUGGGCAGAAAAGAACGUGUACAAAGAUACAGAUUGAUAUCUCAACAACUGAGGGACUAGUGCGGAAGGGCAGAAAGACUUGGCUACAUCGCAUCAGCUCGUUACGCUGAUCAUUUAUAUAUAUCUAUACUUUAUUGGGUACGUUGGAGACCCUUCCUUCCUUCUAGGCGUUACAACGCUCUUUGCGAACUUAAUAAUCCCCUGUUCAGAGCAUGACAAUUUAGUUGAAACAAUCAGAAGCAAAGAAAAUAUUAUUCAAUACAAAAAUAUAUAUCAAAUAUUAUAAUUUUUAUUGUUGUUAUUGCAUUUCAAUUAACCCUAAACAUAUCAUGCCAUUAAAUUGCGUUAUUUGUAUUUAUAAUAAUUGUCAUAAUAGCUUUAUGAAUCGCUUUUAUAAUUUUUUCUCAUAAUUCAAAGCAUUCUGCCAUAUGUACAUACAGACAUACAUAUGUCUAAAAGCGCCAAAAAUACUUUUGAAUUCGAAUUUUAGUACUUUGCGCACUAUAAAUGUAUCGAUAUCUACAUAUUUACAUAUAUACAUACAUAUGUAGUAUAAGUAUAUGCCCUUGAAUUUGUUUUUGACACAUUUCAGUAGAAGGUCAGUAGUAAUCAAAUCUCUGCAUUCGCGCGACUUACUUUUUUGUUACUGUUACAUACGGACGUAUGCGUUACGGAUUUCAAUUAUCAUUUAUGCAUACGUACAUACAUACAUACAUACAUAUGUAUGUGUUUAUGUGUUACGAUUUCCGCUAAUCACUGAUAAUUUGCAAUAUAUAUCUACAUAUAUAGGUAUACAAUUACAUAUUAAUAUUUGUGUACAUAUGUAUGUUUGUACAUCCAUACAUAUGUAUAUCUUUAAUAUGAAAUUCUACGAAUUAAAUCCUUUAGCUGUAUAAAAACAUGCCAAAGAUUCAUAAAUUCACAACGAUGCAAUGCACAUAACCGCACAUAUGUAUAUACAUACCUAUGUACAUGCAUACACAAGUGCAUGUGUACACAAAGGCAUCGAUGUUGGCGGCCAGCAAUAAAGUGAUUUUCAGCGUGUUGAUUUUUGUUGUUUUCGUCAUUAUUAACAUCCUUGUUUCGUAUGUCCAUGUUGUAGUUGGAGCUAUUUCUGUUAAUGUUGUACAUACACAAAUACGCGCAUACUAUAAAUACGAACACAUAGCUGCAUUAGUAUUGUCAGAGUACCUGUUGACUACUGCAUCCACAUUUUGGAUACACAUGCAUACACACAGCCAGGCAGGUACGACAGUGCGUAUGUAUGAAUGUAGGCGCUGCUAGAGCCAAGUGCAGCAGAAUUUACAACUGACCCCACCUAAAUCCACAAACAAGCAGUGAUUUCAGGAAUACUGUGGAAAACAAAGACGAAAGAGAAUCAAAUUCUUGUGGACAUGAAGGCAUCAAGAUACCCGAGUUAUCCUCAUCCAUACACAUACACACACAAAAAUGUAUCUGGUUGAACAAAUCACAAAUCAGCUGAAUGGCUCAAACAACAACGCCAACAACAACAGAUUGUAGGGAAACGUUUGUAACGUACUUUUUAUCAGCAACAAAAAAGAAAGCUAAGCAAGAUUGUGGAAUCCCAAAAUUCUCAUACUCUCAUAUACUUGCUCUCUUGCAUGCAAUCUCUAUCGUGCUCAGAGUCAAUCUCACGAUUAUAUAGCAUUUUUAUGGGACUACUUCCCCGCCGACAAUAUGUAUGUGCACACAUACGUGCCAAGUGAAGACAAAUCUCCUGCAAACAAAAAAAAA